UCCUGUAGCUCAGACAGCAAAGUAUCUGCUUGCAAUGCAGGAGACCUGGGUUCGAUCCCUAGGUCAGGAA
rnacentral:tRNA from 1 species